rnacentral:lncRNA from 1 species
UAUAUUUAUAUAUAUAUAUAUAUAAUUUUGUUUUAAAUGUGGUUGAUAUAUUUGUGGUGGCAUUUUUGAAACACAAAUUAAUAUUUUUCAAGGUUUUACACUUUAAAAGAAAGUCUUGCUGGUGGGAAAUCCAAUGUGUUAGAGGAAGCAGUUCAUCAUCCAACAACUAUGACAAAUCAAGGCCAGCAACAGAAAACACAGGUGCUCCACUGACUGAUUUACAACCCUGA